GACGAACGCUGGCGGCGUGCUUAACACAUGCAAGUCGAACGGAAAGGCCCUGCUUUUGUGGGGUGCUCGAGUGGCGAACGGGUGAGUAACACGUGAGUAACCUGCCCUUGACUUUGGGAUAACUUCAGGAAACUGGGGCUAAUACCGGAUAGGAGCUCCUGCUGCAUGGUGGGGGUUGGAAAGUUUCGGCGGUUGGGGAUGGACUCGCGGCUUAUCAGCUUGUUGGUGGGGUAGUGGCUUACCAAGGCUUGGACGGGUAGCCGGCCUGAGAGGGUGACCGGCCACAUUGGGACUGAGGUACGGCCCAGACUCCUACGGGAGGCAGCAGUGGGGAAUAUUGCAAAAUGGGCGGAAGCAUGAUGGAGCGACGCCGCGUGCGGGAUGACGGCCUUCGGGUUGGAAACCGCUUUCGCCUGUGACGAAGCGUGAGUGACGGUAAUGGGUAAAGAAGCACCGGCUAACUACGU
rnacentral:rRNA from 1 species